AAUGGUGCUCUGGUUGAUAACAUAUAUGUUUAUGUAUGUAAUAUUUGCGUGUAAAUAUGGCUUUAUAAAUAUUCAUGAAAACGAAUAUCAUCACCUCGAAUAUCACAACUCACCCCAGGACUCAGACACGCCCAAUUGUAGAUUAUUGUCUAGACUAUCGAACAGUUUUCUUUUCUUAAAUUUUCCAUAUUAAAAUUAUUAAAUAACUG